GUCUUUCUGGCGCAAUCUGUUAGCGCGUUCGGCUGUCAAUUGAAAGGUUGGUGGUUCAAGCCCACCCAGAAUCA
rfam:Danio rerio chromosome 4, GRCz11 reference primary assembly.